rnacentral:rRNA from 1 species
AUUGAACGCUGGCGGCGUGCCUAAUACAUGCAAGUAGGACGCAGUUGCGAACGGGUGAGUAACGCGUAGGUAACUGCCUAUUAGAGGGGGAUAACUAUUGGAAACGAUAGCUAAUACCGCAUACUAGUAGAUGGACCUGCGUUGUAUUGGCUAGUAGGUAGGGUAAUGGCCUACCUAGGCGACGAUACAUAGCCGAACUGCGAGGGUGAGCGGCCACACGGGGACGGAGACACGGGCCAGAGUCCUACGGGAGGCAGCAGUAGGGAAUCUUCGGAAAUGGGGGGAAACCUGACCGAGCAACGCCGCGGGAGUGAAGAAGGUUUUCGGAUCGUAAAGCUCUGUUGUGAAGGAAGCGGUACUUAACCAGAAAGGGACGGCUAACUACGGGCCAGCAGCCGCGGUAAUAC